CGAACGGGUGAGUAACGCGUGAGGAACCUGCCUCAAAGAGGGGGACAACAGUUGGAAACGACUGCUAAUACCGCAUAAGCCCACGGCUCGGCAUCGAGCAGAGGGAAAAGGAGUGAUCCGCUUUGAGAUGGUCUCGCGUCCGAUUAGCUAGUUGGUGAGGUAAUGGCCCACCAAGGCGACGAUCGGUAGCCGGACUGAGAGGUUGAACGGCCACAUUGGGACUGAGACACGGCCCAGACUCCUACGGGAGGCAGCAUG
rnacentral:rRNA from 1 species